rnacentral:rRNA from 1 species
UACAGAGGUCUCAAGCGUUGUUCGGAUUCAUUGGGCGUAAAGGGUGCGUAGGUGGCGGGGCAAGUUUGGUGUGAAAUCCCGGGGCUCAACCCCGGAACUGCACUGAAUACUGCCUUGCUAGAGCACUGGAGAGGGAACUGGAAUUUACGGUGUAGCAGUGAAAUGCGUAGAUAUCGUAAGGAAGACCAGUGGCGAAGGCGAGUUCCUGGACAGAUGCUGACACUGAGGCACGAAGGCUAGGGGAGCAAACGGG